CCGCGCGUAGCUCAGUUGGUAGAGCAAACGACUGAUACUCGUUAGGUCCCAAGUUCGAAUCUUGGCGCGCGGA
rnacentral:tRNA from 1 species